rnacentral:sRNA from 1 species
UCUGGCGUUUAUGUCGGCUAUCUUGGGCGGCGAGGGUCCCAGCGGAGAAUCUUGGCCGUAGGGACGUCACCUCUGGUGUCUCUCCCCGCGGCAGCACCUCGCCCAGAACCCUGAAUAUCUUCGACCGGGAUUUGAAAAGGAAACAGAAGAACUGGGCGGCCCGGCAGCCCGAGCCGACGAAGUUUGACUACCUGAAGGAGGAGGUUGGAAGUCGGAUCGCAGACCGUGUAUAUGACAUACCCAGAAAUUUCCCCCUUGCUUUGGAUCUUGGUUGUGGAAGAGGUUACAUUGCACAAUAUUUGAAUAAGGAAACUAUUGGAAAGUUUUUCCAAGCCGACAUUGCAGAAAAUGCUUUGUUUGCAUUGGGUGAAUGACCUUCCUAGAGCACUUGAACAGAUUCAUUAUAUUUUAAAACCAGAUGGAGUGUUUAUCGGUGCAAUGUUUGGAGGUGACACACUCUAUGAACUUCGGUGUUCCUUACAGUUAGCGGAAACGGAAAGAGAAGGAGGAUUUUCUCCACACAUUUCUCCUUUCACUGCUGUCAAUGACCUGGGACAUCUGCUUGGGAGAGCUGGCUUUAAUACUCUGACUGUGGACACUGAUGAAAUUCAAGUUAACUAUCCUGGAAUGUUUGAAUUGAUGGAAGAUUUACAAGGUAUGGGUGAGAGUAACUGUUCUUGGAAUAGAAAAGCCCUGCUGCAUCGAGACACAAUGCUGGCAGCUGCGGCGGUGUACAGAGAAAUGUACAGAAAUGAAGAUGGUUCAGUACCUGCCACAUAUCAGAUCUAUUACAUGAUAGGAUGGAAAUAUCAUGAGUCACAGGCAAGACCAGCUGAAAGAGGCUCCGCAACUGUGUCAUUUGGAGAGCUAGGAAAAAUAAACAACCUUAUGCCACAGGGGAAUAAAUCACAAUAAAUAUUUAUUCAAUGUUAA